GUUAACAACCCGCGGCCCGUGCUCGCCCAGAAGCCAGGGCUCGCGGGGCGCGCUCUCCUCCGGCAGCCGGGGCGCGGGCCGUACCUGCUGCCUGGGCCGGGCCGAGCUCUCCGCGCUGCGGGAAGGAGGAGGCGGCGCUCUUCGCCCCGCUGCGAGCGGGCGGGCAAGGCUGGGCCCAUCCGCCCCUGCCCCGGGGCACCCGGCCCGGCGAGCCGCAGAGGGGGGGGGGAGGGGAGGCGCACUGACGGCAGCGGUGUCAAGUACGGAGCGCCGGGUUACGUGCCGACGCCGGGCUGCCACGACUCGCCGUCUGCGGGGAGAGCCGAGCCGAGCGCCGGGGCUGUGCGUGAGCUGCGAGCGGCGGGCUCUGGCCGGGCCUGCUCUGCUGCUCCGCCGCAGCCAGCCGCCUUCCUGCCCGCGGCAGCUCUCUCGCGCGGGGCAGGUGCGCUCACCUGCCGCCGGGGCCAGCGCGCCGCAGCCCCGCGUCCCCUACACCCGCUCCAUGUGAACUUCGAGCCCCGCUGUGGGAAUCUUGCAUGUUGCUUGUAAAAUGAAAGAUAACUUGAGAGAGAAACGAGAUUAAUGGCAUCACUUUACACUGGACUUUUACCAGUAAAUAUCGGUUUAUUCCUGAAAUCAGAAGCCCUAAACAUACCUUUGUUUAUAAGGUCAGUUGUCAUUUCCUCUCUAUCCUCCCCCAUUUAAUAUAAAUUAUGUGAUCUCUCAGGUAAUUGAAAGAUACAGUUUUCUUCCUAGUUUUCCUCCUCUGCACUACCGAAAAGGGAACUUACGGACCUAGAGAACGUCUAUCGGUAAUGUAGGUGUGAAUUUACAAAUUAUUGUUGUUUGUUUAAAAUUUCAAACUUUUUUGGAAACUUACUUUUCAGACUAUAGGUGCUUAGGUAAACUGUGGUGGUGGGCGCUUAUAGAAAUCCCCUAAAAAUAUAUAUAAUUAGGAGACUGAUAUUUCACAAUAUCAUGUGUAGUUCUGUUCCAAUAUAUUCAUUCCUAGUCUUAGAAAGUACUUAUCUGAAAGUAUACACUAGAAAAUGAAAGUUCUCUCUUGCAAUAGUAAAGGGAAAAAACAGAAUUUGAACAGGAUCUUUUUUUAAACUGUUCACAAAACUAUGCUUUGAAGUUGAGAGAAGAGUCAAAUAGUGAAAUGUUAAACUUAAAAGGACGUUGUUGGGUAGUUUAGACCACAAAUUUAGUUUUUUCUGGUUAUUUUACAAAAAAUUGAGUAGAAAUACAUUUGACAAAAGUCAAUUUUAUUCUUAAAAACCCAAAACAGGAUUUGGAAGUAUUUAAACACCUCUUUGUAAUGUUUGCAACCAAAUACAACAGCAUUGUGCUCAUACACAAGAGACAGAAGCUAGCAAGGAAUAGAAAAUGAAGUUGACUAAACAGGCCAGCCAAAUUUCAUUCUCCAAAACAGGUGAAAUGCAAAGAGUAAAAAAAGAAUUUUAAAAAAAUUCUUUCAAUUUUAAGUAUCUACAGCAUUCAUAAUGCAAGACUGUUUUCUAGAGUUAUUCAGCUGAACAAUGUCCCUUUAAGGAGAUGCAGCACAAUUUACAAAUUUUAUCCUAGACGUGUUUUGUUAUCUUUGCUCUCAGUACAAAUCAAAGCUCUUGCAACCUUUGUUGGAGUCGAUAGUGACUGGAGUCUUCCAGCAGUAAGUACACUUUCUGAGCUGAAAACUACCUUUCCUCCCCUUUUGCAGCCUGUGUGGUUCUGACUGCUGGCAGUUCUGUAGUACAGCAGCUUUAAUCUGAGCAAUUGAGACUGUUCCUACAUUAUCUUCAGAUGGCUUGAGGAGGACUUCUGUUCCCAGUCUGGUACUCAAAUACUCCGUCUCACCUUGAGAAGUCACUUACUUUAAAAGGCAGUGAUAGAUUACUCUCUUUAGCACUGAUGGAAAAUUAUAUUGCAAAGCAGCUUUAUUAUGAACCUUUCGUAUAUUCAUAAUUCCCGUGCAAUCCCAAAUUGGAGAAAAGAGCCUGUUAGAGGUAUAUAUUACUCUAGAUUUUUCUUACUGUAAAUAUUGUAAUUUUAUAAUCCUGUCAAUAUUUUAUUAAUUUAGAAAUAUUUAACAAAAUUCAAUCUGUGUGUGUUCAGAUUUAUUUAAUGGUGUUCCUGCUGCAGUCAGUAUUGCAUUAUAUUCUAUGUAAGAUUAACUUAAAUAAAAAAAAUUAACAUUGAUUUAAAUACAUCUUUCUGAGAGAAGUUUUGAGGUGAGUCUCUUCUUUGAAAUGUAACACUUAUACUCUUCAGUCCCAAUGCUAAGGUAAUUUAAUGAAAUAUUACAGUUACAGAUUUACAAAGCUAAUGCAGCUAAACAACUGCACUUGGAACUUGUCAUUUUAAAACUUGAGAAUACUUGAAUGUAAAUGGCUUUUAUCAGCCAGUUUUCAGUGAACAAGAAUCUCUGCAAUAUCUGAUGUAUCGAAAAUAAAAAAACUCUUUAUAAUGAGUAAAGGGACACUGUACGUCAGUUAAGUUUUUGUAAAAACCAGUAUUUGUAAAGGCCAAGUUCAGUAGAAAUGUUUUCAUUAUUUUAAAAAAAAUUCUAAUGAAAACACAUGUUUUGUUUGUUUGGCUGUAUGCAUUCCCCCUAGCAGUGUUUGCAUCCCAAAUAUUGCAGCUUUGUGGUGGUGUGCACAAGCCAGAAAGCAACUAGAAAUUGACUAGUUGCAGAACAUGAAAUCUUUUUAAUUGUCCAAAUUAAAGGCUCAAGCCUAUGCCCUUUUUUAAAGUCAGUGGCAAAGCUUUCACAGAAACAGGAUCGGGUCCUGAGUGAUCACUUUCUUCCUCUUCCUCAGCACUGAUGGGGAAAAUUAAAUUAGAUUUUCUAAAAUUCUUUGUUUUAUUAACCUAAGGUUCUCUAAAGACAUUUUCUUUUUAAAAAUUAAUUUUAACCUGAUUUUAAUCUGAUUUUUAACUCCUUUAGCAGUUUGCUUUUAAAAUGUUCAUGUUCUCUGCAGAAUUAUCAAAAGCAAAGUAUUUUUUCCUUUCAGAGGCCAGGGAGGAUUGAUCUCUAAUGUAUUUGCAACAUGACUCUUCUUAAAGGAUCCAAAAUAUCUCAAAGGUUUUUAUAGCAGGUGGUACUUUUGGGUUUACAAGUUAAUCUUUAUUAGAGAUGUGCCAAUAUAUGCUGCUUAUUGUAGUGUUGUUAUAUUUAGUCAUUUUAGCUAACUUACAAAUAUAUACUGUAACAGUAUACUUUGUACAGAUUUAUUUAAAAAUUGAAAUAAAAUAGGCAAAAAAAUAAAGAUGUUUUUCAUUUGACUAUGUAAGCAGCUAUCAUUCUUUUGUUUUUAGUGUACCUGGGCAAACAGUAUCAGAACGAUAAAAUAUUUUAGAUGAUAGGCCACAUUUCAGAAACUCUGUGGAUAUGUGUAUGUGUAUCUGUAUUGUAUGUUGCUAACUUAACUCUAGAAUGCAAAUAAUGAAAUCAUACUCUUUUUACCAUUUAGAAGAGAAGUGUUUCACAUUUUGACUAUAUUUUCUCUGUUUUAUGACAAAAAGGCGUAUAUUUUUUGAAAGAUGUUUAUGAAGGGCCUGCCAUCUGGCUUCUCAAGUAAAUUUUUAAAAUUCCAGAGUGGGGGUGAUUACUUGUUUAGCCUUUGCUGAUAGACCAAAGUCAGCUUUGACAUCAUAUUGGGGUGCUGCUCAAAUUUAUGUUUUAUGUCCUUUAAGUCAAAAAACAAAACAAGAAAAAUCAAGAUGUUAACUUCAUUAGAAAACAAAUUCCUCACUGUACAGUAGAAUGGAUAUCUCUAAUCACUGUUGUCAUUAAUAAUAGAUUAUUUUUUGAAUUACUUAUUUAAAAGAACAGCAAGCAUUGUAUUUGCUAGUAAAUAUAAAGUGUUUACAUGUAAUUACUUAAUAAAUUAUUUGAUUUAA